AAUUUAUUUACAGGGUGUCUGAAAGCUACUGGUUAGGUAUGCUAAGUUUAUUUUCUUCAACUUUCUUUGAUAUUAUUUUUUAUCCACACUUACAGGCAAAGGUUAGCUAGAACAAUCAAUGGGUCAAAUUAAUUAAUCACAGAAAGCACACCACAUUGAAUAUCCCCAAGAUUUGAGUAUUUUUCUGAGCCUUUGGGCUGUGCUGCAUUAAUGCAGUGACCCACUAGAUGUCAAUGUUUCCAUGAGAAUGAAUAAAGGCAGUCCGUUGUCAUCCUUGAAGCAAAGAAUUAAUUGAUUGCUAUAAAAAGUUAGAUGAAAUAAAAUGUUCUCCUGCUCUUCAAACGAAGAUAAGCUAAUAACUUUGGACACAAUUUCACUCCUCUGCAUUCACCAAAUGUCCAAUUACAUAUCCUCUCUGCCUGGACCUUCAAAACAAUAUAAAAUUGAAUGAAGGCAAUGAAAGAAGUCACAGGAGGAUUUCCGGAGAGCACCGUCCAGCUCAGAAACAAAGCAAUUCAAUUCCUGUCUCCAAGAUUUCUAAAUGCACAGACUUAGAACGGCCACUGAGGAGUGAGCAACAGGACCCUGUUCCAGGAUUUUGAAAGUGUCCGCUGGUCACCUGUCUGGUGGGAAUGGGCGAGAACCAGCUAGAGAAUCUUGUGCCCCACUGGGAAGUUGAUAUUUACCAGCAACAUGCUGAAGAUAUUCCAUGGAGAGCAAUGUCUAGUAGCAAGAGAGCAGUUCGUGGAUCUCUUGGAUUCUCCUUUCUGAAGAAUGAGAAGAUUCCGAGAAAAGAAUUCUGCCCAUCCACAUGGCAAAAGAUGAAGACCCGGGAGCAUGCAGUGGGAAAAGGGAGGAGGAUGACAUACCAUGUGGGACUUUCACAUGACUGUUCAAGGUGACCUCAAUGCUCACUGAGAGUUGCUUCUAGAGGAAUAGUAAUAAUAAAAAAAAAUGACAUUUAUGCA
rnacentral:lncRNA from 1 species